UGGGAUUUCAGGAAGGUACCACCAUAUCAGCUUGGAAUUUAGAUCUUAAAAUAACAAUUUAUUUAUAUUCAAAAACUAAGCACUCAUUUAAUAACAAAAGGGCACAAAGUAGUUUUGAAUGUGGGGGAGAGGCAUGGUUCCCAGUCUGGAAGUUUUCUUUCCCUGUGUCCUAAACUCCAGUAAUUUUACAAUCUUUCCAGUUAUUCUUGCUGUUAGACUCCAGAUUUUCUUGAGAGUUUCAUUAGUUUCCAUAAUCUUUAAAAGAAAAGUGGGUAUUUGACAUGCAUUAAAAUGUAGUAUUCCCUAGCCAGCACUCUCUAGGGUUGUACAAGCUACACAAUUCAUCUUAUAAUUCAGAGCCAAAGCCAACUGUCUCUUUCUUGU
rnacentral:lncRNA from 1 species